ACACUGGCUUUACUCAAAGCCAUUGAAUAAAAAGAUUGAAUAAAAGU
rfam:Salmo salar isolate Sally breed double haploid chromosome ssa20, whole genome shotgun sequence.